rnacentral:rRNA from 1 species
AGAGUUUGAUCCUGGCUCAGGAUGAACGCUGGCGGUAUGCCUAACACAUGCAAGUCGAACGAAUCCCUUCGGGGAUUAGUGGCGGACGGGUGAGUAACGCGUGAGAAUUUACCAAAAGGACCGGGACAACCACUGGAAACGGUGGCUAAUACCGGAUGAGCCGAAAAGUAAAAAGGGAAACCUGCCUUUUGAAGAGCUCGCGUCUGAUUAGCUAGUUGGUGAGGUAAGAGCUCACCAAGGCAGCGAUCAGUAGCUGGUCUGAGAGGAUGACCAGCCACACUGGGACUGAGACACGGCCCAGACUCCUACGGGAGGCAGCAGUGGGGAAUUUUCCGCAAUGGGCGCAAGCCUGACGGAGCAAUACCGCGUGGGGGAGGAAGGCUCUUGGGUCGUAAACCUCUUUUCUCAGGGAAGAACACAAUGACGGUACCUGAGGAAUCAGCAUCGGCUAACUCCGUGCCAGCAGCCGCGGUAAUACGGAGGAUGCAAGCGUUAUCCGGAAUGAUUGGGCGUAAAGCGUCCGCAGGUGGCAGUGUAAGUCUGCUGUCAAAGGUCAGGGCUCAACCCUGAACAGGCAGUGGAAACUACACAGCUAGAGUGCGGUGGGGGCAGAGGGAAUUCCCAGUGUAGCGGUGAAAUGCGUAGAGAUUGGGAAGAACACCGGUGGCGAAAGCGCUCUGCUAGGCCGCAACUGACACUCAUGGACGAAAGCUAGGGGAGCGAAUGGGAUUAGAUACCCCCGUAGUCC